UACGAAGGGGCAAGCGUUGUUCGGAAUUACUGGGCGUAAAGGGCGCGUAGGCGGCUUACCAAGUCAGGCGUGAAAUUCCCGGGCUCAACCUGGGGCUGCGCUUGAUACUGGUGAGCUUGAAUGCGGGAGAGGAUAGUGGAAUUCCCAGUGUAGAGGUGAAAUUCGUAGAUAUUGGGAAGAACACCGGUGGCGAAGGCGGCUAUCUGGCCCGUAAUUGACGCUGAGGCGCGGAAAGCGUGGGGAGCAAACAGGG
rnacentral:rRNA from 1 species